UGCAGUCAAGUCAAAUUCAGCCCUCAUUUCUGUCAUAACGGGGACUGACCCAGAUGGCUGCCACAGCAAGCCCAGCAGGUCAUGGGCCCUGGAUCCCCUGCCCUGGGACCUGGGGAUAAGUUUGGCAGUGGACAUUG